UCCUCAAGACAUUUGUUUGAAAAAUUAAAAAUCAGUAAUUUACUGAAGAAAAACAUUUUUUAUAUUUUGAUAUAUCAAUUAAGGUAGUUUACUGUAGAACCUAUAGAAUUAUAUCUGAAAAUACAUUAAUAUAUAUAAUAUAUUAAUAUAUCUAUAUUUAAAAUCAAAAGAAAGAAAACAGUGAAGUAACUCAAACAUAUUUCCCAUUCAAGAAAGCACAUUAUUUCAUAUAGUUUUGAGCUCCAACAGAAGGGGGCAACACAAUCUCACAAAUUAUGCUUCACAAGCAUUUCCCUGAUGUUCACCAAAGAUGAUUGAGAAGUGCUAUCAACGUUUCUUUGCAAAGAAAGCUGUGAAUUUGGGAGGUAAAAAGGGUUACAUAACGAUUUAGGAUGUAUUGCAUAUUUUUGUCAUAUUAGCUUGUUUGUUAGGUUAUCUCUUUUCUCAUAUUAUGUAGUAUAAGAAGUCUCAUUAAAAACUAUAGAAACUCAUGUGUAUGAACAAAAUGGUAAUACAAUAUUGGUAGGAGCAGAAAAAUUAAGAACAUAAAAGGGUUAUCAAAAAAUAAUUAAAAGAAAUAAGCAUAUAUUUAAACAGCCAUUUAAUCUUUUCUUUUGUGCAUUGUAAUUCAGACUCAUUGUCAGGACAGGAGGAGGAGUUUAGCACAGACACUAUACAGCAUGCAGCUGGGUAAAGAUGAACAUCACUCAACACUGUGUGGAGCAGCUGCUCUGUUUUUAGUUUGUUCUUACUAGUUCAGUGAGUGAACAUGUUGCUUUAUAUUAUUAUACUGCUGUCAUCAACUGAAGGUUCCAGAGCCUCAGAAGUCAUCACUCCAAAAAGUGACAGAGAAUUUGCUCUUGAGGGUGACAAUGUGACACUCUCCUGUAACUACAGCGGUUCUGCUCGUGGUGUUCACUGGUAUCGACAAUAUGCAGGAUCACCACCACAGUUCCUCAUACUGGAAGAUUCAGGGGUUACAACUCCAGCUAAUCCAUCAGUUCCAGGAAUAACCAUCAGUCACAGAAAAAAAGAAAGCCAUGUGGAUCUGGAGAUCUCCUCUGUUAAAGUGUCAGACUCUGCUCUGUACUACUGUGCUCUGAGGCCCACAGUGACAGGAAACACAACAACACUGUACAAAAACAGUUUUCAUAUGCUUAUCAAGACUUGAUAGAAAUGUACAAACCACAGCUGGACUCGACAGCACAAAGGUCAAAAAAGAGAGAAAGAGACAGUGUACAACUGCUAAUGAAAUUAACUUAUUGUUAAGUAAGCUGACUUUACUUGCAUAGACAGUAAGUAACUCUGAAGGGACCUUCUGACAUUCUUCCACAGAUAUCCUAAAUAAUGCAACUACUAACUACUAACUACUAACUACUAACAGUUGGCUUCUGUUAGUUACAGUACAUCAACCAAUAAAAUAUAUCUCAUAUACAACUCAGAACAUCUUUAAUGUUGUUAUAGGCCUAAAUGCAAUGUCUCACAGAUAUUUUUAAACUAAACUGCUACAUAUACUGUACCUGCAACAGUUACUAAAUAUAACAACUGUGUACUUUGUUUAAUGGAUGAAUUGAUAAAAUAAUAAAAACAAAUAAAAGUUCUAACAAAAGACUACUGAUUAAAAAAGUAUUGUAUAUUGGUCUUUGCUAAAAUGUCUACAAAUUUGAAAUAAUUGGUAAAUGAUCACCACAAAAACAUCUACCGUAGGUUCAGAGAGAGAUGAUCUGCUUCAUGAAUUCAGAGCUGUAGAUUUAAGGGGAGGUGCUAGAGACAACCUCUGCUAUAAAAUAAAUGAAUGUUACUUC
ensembl:lncRNA